GUUUCGAACGUAAAACAGAUUUUGGGGAAGGGUGACUACAUGGCCUCUCCUCCUUUGCAUGUCUACCAACAUGGUGUUGCAAUGCAAGGAAUGACGCGGCAAGGCGACGCGAGGUGAGGCGAGGGCGGUUUUGUGUGAUCAUAGCAUUCUAUUACGAAUAAAUUGAGGUUCUGUUUACACCUAAAAUAUACCCAUUUUACUUAUUUGGGCAAUUUGGGUAAAAUAUGGUAUUUGGAGGAUUAAUAUGCAAGAAGACUAACUUGGAAAGAUAUUUAGUUGCAAGUGGAGGGUUUGGCACUAUAAUAUUAUUUCUCCUAUUUGUUUGGGUGGUGGAGGUUUGCCAAGGGAAUUGUUUAAUCAAGACAAGUGCAUGCUUUUUCAUGCAAGUGGAUGGAAGGACACCAUGCAUACUUUCGGGCAAGAAUGUGUGAUGAAAGAAGCCAAUUUGCCAACUUACUUCUUUUAAUUGAUUAGUUUAUUACAAGUGGGAAAACAUGUGAUGAAAGCUUGUGGUGGAAAUGCAAGUUCCCCUUUUAAUAUUAUUUCUCCAUACAAGUUGGCAAGUGAAAAGCAUGCAAGCUGUCUAAAGCAAUGGAAUACAAGCUGCCCAAGCUUCUUUCGGGCAGAUACAAAACCUCAGCAGGAGGGUUUCCUCCAAACCUCUAUAAAAGGGAGCAGAUGCACAAGGAUUAUGGACACUCAAACAAACAAACAAAAGCACAAACUCUGCUCAAACCAGAUUUGCCAAAAGCCUUCUUUUAUCUAGCUUAUUAGCUCUGCUGCUCACUUGCGGUAUUGAUCUCAUUUGUAGCUGUUAUGUUACUCAUUCCAGUCAUAUAAAUUACAAGCAAUCUGCAAUAUUAGCCACUUUCCCUUGUCAUUUAUAUUUCCAAGCAACCUUGUCAUUUACAUAUUGUUCUAUCUCUCCAUAUAAGUAAAGUCCUUAUUUUUAAGGCAAAGAAAGAACCUUGAUUUGAGCAACUCCCACUCAAAUGGCACAAUCUCUUGAUUUGAAGUCAAAAGGCGCAACCUCAAUCAUUCAAAUCCCGUCUACUAGCGGCAUCUAGUAGUGGCACGCCCGCACCCACCAAUCUCGUAUGUGCAGUAAAUCCCCGACUUGCCCGCAAGGCCCCAUGGCGGAUUUAGGGAGCGAACAUAUUUUGGCACGCUCGGUGGGACCCUUAUAUGAAGUUAGAUCAUGAACAAUCCUUAUGUUCAUGAUUUUUUGGAGGAUGACGGUGUGGAAGAGCGCCCAAGCUAUGGCUAUCACAUAAAGCCAACCUAUGAGUUGCCAACUUAUGGGUACAUGGCUGAAGAGUACUCAAGUCCCAUGGAACAUGAUUGUCGGCCAACUAAUGGCCAUCAAAUAAAUAAUAAUCUUACAGAUUGGCCAACUUAUGGCUAUGAUGAAGGUUAUUAUUCUUUUGAAGACAAUCAUAUUCAUGAAUACUAUGAUAGGCCAACAAAUGGCUUUGAGUAUCAAAAGGCUUCCAAUGAGUACAUAGAGCCAAUAUAUGAGAUGCCAACUCAUGAUCAUCCGGAUGAAAGGCUCUACAAAGAGGAUGUGGGCAAAAUAGAGAAGAUGUCCAAACUCCAUGUGGCAAGCAUCGAGUAUGGUGAGGAGGUCACUCAGUGUUUUAAAAGGGUGGAGGAAAGCUAUACAACUUUUGGAGAAACUUUGGGAAAGUUGAUAGAUCAAAUGUGUCAAAUCCCCUCUACAAAGCACACUCACCCUACUACAACCAAGGAAGAACAGAUCAUACAUGUUGAUGAAGGCCAAACAAUGGCCCCACCCAAGGAAAAAUCCAUGAAAAUGGAUAUGGUUGUAGAAGUCCAAGCCGUUUGUAGGCCAAACACCAAACGCUCGGGGGCAUGAGCCCACACCUCAUGUGGAGCCCGAAGAAGAAGAAAAUAGCUCCUACACUCUUCCCCGCCAACACAAGCAUGUUGUCCGCAUCGAGAUCUCAAGGAGGACAAAGCUUGGGAUCAAGCAUGAAUGGCCACCUCCUAUGGUUCCCAAGCUAUAUGGCAUGGCCAAUUUAAAUGAUGGGUAUGAUCUCUCUACACUCAAUUUUUAAAAAAGAGAAAAAAGAUUUGAGUGUUGAGAGAGAAUAACAAUUGAGCAGCCAAAGGGCUUCAUCCAAUUUGCCCGAAUGGCUUUCUUUUGUGUUAUUCUUUUGUGCACUUUCUCCAGUACCAUUCUCCUCCUUUUCCUUCUCUUUCCUUUUUUUUUUUCUUUCUUUCUUUCUUUCUUCCUUUCUUUUCCUUCCUAUCUCUCUCUCACCUAUCUUUCUGCUGCCCAAAACACUUUUAUAUCUAUGUGUCUAUAUUUAUUAUAUUAUAUGAUAAAAGUGUUUUGCCCGACAACGGCUGUAUGUACAUAUAUGUUAUAGUAGGGGGAUGGAGAUUAUAUAUAUAUAUAUAUAUAUAUAUAUAUAUAUAUAUAGUAUUAUAAUUUGUUUUGUAAAAUGUUGCCCGAAAGGGCUAUAUAUAUAGUUUUUUGAUAUAUAUAUUUUAUAUAAUAAAAGUGUUGCCCGAAUGGGCCUUUUAUAUCUAUGUGUCUUAUAUUAUAUUAUAUUAUUAUAUUAUUAUAUUAUAUUAUGUACUUUGCCCGAAAAGGGCUUUAUGUGUAUAUAUAUUAAUAUUAUAGUAUUUGAAAGGACUCUGUUUUCUUUGUGUGUUCUUGUGCUGUUACAAAGAAAAAGAUAUAAAAAUUAAAAAUUACAAAAACAUUUUGCUUUCAUGCUUUUUCUUGCUUUCUUUCCCUUUUUGUUUUCUUGCUGGGAACUUUACAGAAAAUAUCAAAGAGUUGGGCAGUUUGUGAGUAGCCAUUUUUACCCUUCUUUCCACUUUUCUCUUAUCCAAUGGGUGUAUUUAGCCCGAACCCAAAACCAUCCAAUAAAACUACAUUUUCCACAAAUCUCACCCAGAAUCUUGGAAUUGGAGGUUUUAUAAAAAGCCAAAUCAUGGCUUUCCUGUGCAAAAAUCUAUCAGACAGCUUCUCAAUGGCUAUUGCAAAAGAGCAGGGGGUUAUCUUGCCCGAUUGGUGGUGCCCGAUGAGACCACCAUAACCAUGCCCGACGGAAGUGACGUCUUCCCUGCUCACCACCAACAGACUCUGCAUGUCUCCCUAACUCUCACCAGCUCCUACAACCAAGGGUCGGGCUACUUCGACGACUACCAUUGGAGGCUACGAUUAAACCGUGGAGGUUGGAUGGUGGGUGCAGAAUUGUUUUUGCAGUUUGCCCGAAUGCUUGAUGAAAGUAUAUUGCUGCUGCCCGAGAGAGCUAUAAUCUUGCCCGAUGAGCAGGACAUUUUAUCUUGCUCGAUGUUGUCAAUCAAACGUGGGGCCCCAUGUUUAAUCUGGCAAACAUAUCUGAAGUGUUCUUGCCAUGACCGUUGUAGCUUCAAUGACGUGUUACCAAGCUGCUUACAAAAGAAUUAAAGGUUCGAAGGAGAGCACUGAAACUUCUUGUAAAUACCAGACUGUCUAAACGUAGGGCAGGCUUCUACAGCAUGAAGUGGGCAAGGUUGACAAGAUGCAAGCCAUGGCCGCCCAAUAUGCCGCCUACAAAGCAAAGGAAGAAUACGAUAGGCACUUCUCCAGUAUGCCGGAGUUCGCGGGAAGAAGAAGACAACAAAAGCCAGCCAAAACCUACGCUGCAACAUCAUGAUGGAAGUGAUAACGAACUUAAUUCCAGCAAUGUUUCCGCCAGCGGGGUUGUUGCAAAAUCCCAUGAGCCCGAGGUGGUGUUAUUACUCCAAAAACGAAUCCAUGGUUGGUGUUUUGGAACCGCAGCUCGGGCAAAGAACAUCAAACAGCGGAUCAAAGUCUAGUACAGCCCCGCUCACUCCUUCCAUUUCCAACUGUGUUGAUGUUAUCAUCAAACUAGGGAGCUGGCAAAACGGAUUCAAAAGGAGGCAGUCAAGUUUGGAAAGUUGUCGAAGAUGUCUUGUGCGUUCGUAUGAAGAAGCUCCAAAGGGUCCACAACUGAGAGAUACUGAUCAAGGAGCAGAUGUGGUGGUUGCCACUCCCGGUCACUGGAAAUAAUACCACUGACUAUUCUGGAUCUGUGCUUCAACAAAAUCUCAACGGCAAAAUAUCUUGGUCAACUUGCGGUGAACUACAACUCCUGGUAAGCCAUCAGUCUGGAAGGACUUCUUCCCCAUUUGAUGUGCUACAACCGGCAGUAAAUCAAGUCCAGCUCUCUGAAGGAUUCUGCAGAUCGGUCAAACAUGACCACCUCUCUCCGAGCGGAACAAAAGUAAUAGUGCAUAGUCAGCAUCACUACCUUGAUCUGGGAAGCAGACUUAUGAACCUCAAAGCAGGAUUUCUCGAUGCACAGAAGUCGGAGUGAGGGAACCAUGUCAGCUAUCAUUCAACCACCAACAUAACAUCCGCAGUUUCUCAAACGUCCGACCCCUCUCAGCCAAAUCCAUGUUGUUUCCAUCAUAACUUCGCCCCAUGACAGUUCGCACCCAUCGAUGUUGGCUCUUCUAUUCGAGAAUCGAUCAGUUUAUGGCCUGGAAUGGGUACGCAUCGGGUGACGCGCCUCUGUAGAAAGAACUGAUGGCGAGGACUCCGGCGCAAGGUCGGACUAGUAUUCUGUACUAGUUUUUCAUUUGAUUAUAAAAUGAGAGAGCAGUAUAGGGACCCCUGGAAUGUGAUUAGAGUGGGGAAGUUGCUAGAGGAUUUCAAUGCUCUUGUUGGGACCAUUGCAUUCGAACAUUGCUGCGAUAAAGAUGGCACAACAAAGCCCCUGCUACUGGUGACUUCUUCUGUUGACAAGAUAGGAUCCUCAUACCCAGCAAAAGUCCAUUGCUCUUGCAGCAAACUCCACGGAGGUAGCCUGUGAUUCCAAGUUUGGAAAAUCAGCUUCGUUUAACCCGAUAUUGCCUAAAGACUGAGAAAGAAAAAUUGCUCUGUUGCCUGACAAAAGGUCCCUCUCUUAUUAUUUCUUUCUCUUUCUCUCUCUUUUCCUAUUCCUUAUCUCUUCUGUCCCUUUCUUACCCGAAAGGGCAUCUCUUUCUUUUUUAUUUUAUUAUUUCUUUCUCUUUUUCUGUAUCUCUGUCGAAGUCUGCUUUCUUUGCUCUGCCCGAAUGGGCUGUAUAUCUAUAUAAUAUAUGAUAGAUUAUAUUAUAGGGUAGGCCAGUCAACUUUUCUUCCCAAAAGCCCAAGUGGCUGUCCCUAUCUUUCUCUCAUUCUUCUCUCUUUUCCUUUUUUCCUCUUUCUCCUUGUCUCUUUCUUUUCCUCUUUCUUUCACUUUGCCCUAAAGGGCUCCAGAGAUAUAUAUAUAUAUAUAUAUAUAUAGUUAUAUUAUAUUAUAUAUUAUAUGAAAAGAGGCCAAAAGAAAAAGACAAAAAAGAAUAGUUGCCCAGUUUAUUUCUCUCUUAACUCUCUUUUCCAGUUUGCCCGACUUCGGGCAUUUUUCUAGUUUACUAUCUCGGUAACCAGUGAAGAUGCUCCUAUGUUUUUUGGUAUCAACGAGAAGGAUGCACAAGUUAGACAACAUUUUUUCCAAUGCUAGUUGCAAUACCAAUUGCCUUGCUCCUCUUUCCAAAGUUUGUCAACGACAGAAGGACCGAAGAGGUAGACGUGCCUCUUCCUUCGACAUCAAUCCUGGCAGCAUUAGGGUUGUAAGUUUCACAAACUUUGCUCAAAUUUGUAAAACUUGGGGGGCACUGUUUACACCUAAAAUAUACCCAUUUUACUUAUUUGGGCAAUUUGGGUAAAAUAUGGUAUUUGGAGGAUUAAUAUGCAAGAAGACUAACUUGGAAAGAUAUUUAGUUGCAAGUGGAGGGUUUGGCACUAUAAUAUUAUUUCUCCUAUUUGUUUGGGUGGUGGAGGUUUGCCAAGGGAAUUGUUUAAUCAAGACAAGUGCAUGCUUUUUCAUGCAAGUGGAUGGAAGGACACCAUGCAUACUUUCGGGCAAGAAUGUGUGAUGAAAGAAGCCAAUUUGCCAACUUACUUCUUUUAAUUGAUUAGUUUAUUACAAGUGGGAAAACAUGUGAUGAAAGCUUGUGGUGGAAAUGCAAGUUCCCCUUUUAAUAUUAUUUCUCCAUACAAGUUGGCAAGUGAAAAGCAUGCAAGCUGUCUAAAGCAAUGGAAUACA
rnacentral:lncRNA from 1 species